GUGUAGAAUAAAGGUGUGACCGUGUCGUCAAUAAGUGCGCGAGGGGAAACGAUAUAAACAUACAGAGGACUGUGGAAAGGGAUUUGACUGCAAAGCGGGGGAAAAAUAUUGCUGACAAGUUUGGCUCUGAUGAACAUUCCACGAACGAGAAUAUUUCUGGAUUAUAAAAAUCAUUUAACAUCAAUUAACAUCGAAUAACAUUACAAUUGUUUGUUAUCAAAACAUUUGAAUUGUGCCAAGAAAUAAGGAUAGUUUAUUUGGGCGGAGGAAUCACCUGUGAGGAAUUUCGAGAUGGCUAAUUUCUGUGCCGUUAAGGGCUGCGAAAUAACUCGUUCUCGAUACAAAAAUAAAGCUGAAUGUAUUACCGUGCAUAGAUUUCCCAAAAGAGAGGAUCUGCUCUUGAAAUGGAUCGCUUAUUGUGGACAACAAAAACAGUGGAAACCUCUAGGUAACCAAGGAAUUUGUUCGAAACAUUUCGAUUCCUCUUGCUAUAAAAGGAAUGAAGAGUGCGAAAAUGUCUCAUACUCGGUUGAGCGGCGUCGAAGAAUCAAUGCUGAUGCAUUACCAGGGAAUCCUGAACACUGGACUCAAUAGGGAGAAGUUGAAAAUCAACCCGCCGACAGCGCAAGAAGUAGUAGUGAUGAAAUAGAAAAUGUCGAGAUAUCUUGUGAGUUUUUCUUCUUCAUUUCGU